CAGCGUCACAAGUGGUAUCCGUUAUUAUUGGGCCUAAAGCGUCCGUAGCCGGUCUAGUAAAUCCUUGGAUAAAUCGUACAGCUUAACUGUACGGCUCCCGGGGAGACUGCUAGACUUGGGACUGGGAGAGGUCGGAGGUACUCCAGGGGUAGGGGUGAAAUCUUGUAAUCCUUGGGGGACCACCAGUGGCGAAGGCGUCCGACUAGAACGGGUCCGACGGUAAGGGACGAAGCCCUGGGGCGCGAACCGGAUUAGAUACCCGAGUAGUCC
rnacentral:rRNA from 1 species